UCCUCUAGUUUCAUUAUUGUAUUUUAAGAAUGUGCCUGAUCUCGGAAGCUAAGCAGGGUCAGGCCUGGUUAGUACUUGGAUGGGAGACCACCUUGGAAUACCAGGUGCUGUAGGCA
rnacentral:rRNA from 1 species